GUAGGUGGCAAGCGUUGUCCGGAAUUAUUGGGCGUAAAGCGCGCGCAGGCGGUCCUUUAAGUCUGAUGUGAAAGCCCACGGCUCAACCGUGGAGGGUCAUUGGAAACUGGGGGACUUGAGUACAGAAGAGGAAAGCGGAAUUCCAAGUGUAGCGGUGAAAUGCGUAGAGAUUUGGAGGAACACCAGUGGCGAAGGCGGCUUUCUGGUCUGUAACUGACGCUGAGGCGCAAAAGCGUGGGGAGCAAACAGGAUUAGAUACCCUGGUAGUCCACGCCGUAAACGAUGAGUGCUAAGUGUUAGGGGGUUUCCCGCCCCCCUUAGUGCUGCAGCUAACGCAUUAAGCACUCCGCCUGGGGGAGUACGGCCCGCAAGGCUG
rnacentral:rRNA from 1 species